CUCCUGUUCGAUAGGUGGAAAAGCUUUAAGGACAAAAUUCUCAUAUAUUUUAAACGGCACAUCCAUAACGAAGACUGCAAGCGACUACUACUUUAUGUACAACACGCCAGCGUUGAUGCCCAGGAUUACUUGACCCUUAUUUUGCUUAAUGCCGUCUUGCCGCCGACAUCUCGGACCUUGAAUCAAAACGGGAAAAGGAACCAAAAACCGACAAAAGCGGAUGCUAAACUUUCGAUGGUACUACGGCUUUCAAGCUUGAAUGACUAUGAACGUAGUAUCAACAAUAUAGUCAGGGAAAAGUAUUGAGAGUCGCUGGUAAGGUGUGACUCCUCCCUGAAAAGCAUAUAUGAUGGACGUUGAUGCACUACGAGCAGUACAAACAAGUGGCCCAACGACACCAAGCACGUGCUUGUUACGCGCGGGGCCCUUUUAUCAAUUUGGGCAAAAAUGCG